UAUUAUCUUCAGGGUAAGGUGAGUUUUAAGCAAUUCCUAACCGGUGGUAUAGUCCACGAGCUUCAGCUGAACUGGUGAAAUUCCAGUACCGACGGUAAAGUCCGGAAUAAAGAAGAUUAAA
rnacentral:ncRNA from 2 species